GGAGCUGCAGGCCUGCAGGGGAUGCCAGGGGAGAGGGGUAUCCCUGGUUCUCCUGGUCCUAAAGGAGAUGUGGGUUCAGUUGGUGAGAAAGGAACCGAGGGUACUGCUGGAAACGACGGGCCCGGGGGACUUCCUGGUCCAGUUGGACCAACAGGAGGCAUUGGGCUCAAUGGUGAUAAGGUAAAG